rnacentral:misc_RNA from 1 species
GCUGGAUAGACUUUAACCAUCAAACACAAAUAUUUUUAUGACAAAGUCACCAAAUACCUUGGUGGACACGCACUGGCAUUCCCUAAAUGUAAAGAAAUGUUAAGAAUUCAAACCUUACAAAUCACAUGAAGCAGAGUUCCUCUGCAGAUACAGAAACACAUUCGAUCUUGACCCAUUACAUAACUGUCUUACUUGUUUCUAGUUUACUGCAAGAUUACAUAGCUAAAUUUGUGAAGCCACUCAGCAAAUAUCUUCAGAGAUAAGCAUUACACUUAUUUGGCUAAUACAAGCCAAUCCUAAACUUACAACCUCUUAACUAGACUUGCACCCCAAAGCUUACGCUAAGGAAAAUCUACGGACAGCACACUGCUGACAUGCACCACAAAUCUAUAACAUUCACAUAGGCUACAGUUCUUUUAUGCUUACUAUUACAGGACGCCAGCACGAGCACAUAGCACCUACACACCGGCUUUUUCACAGAGAUCUAGUAAGUCCAAAGUCUCAGGAAUGGAGAGCUCCAGACGGAACUUGGGGCCAUCAUAAUGAUGUAAAACUGGUCUGAAAGCAUCUUCCUCCAAAGGAUUACAGACUUUCCGGACACGGAUCCUCACCUGAGCAGGGAACCUUGACUCUCCUUUACACUUUUUAUCCUCCCAGGCAGUUGGAUCAAUGUUGGAACCUCCAAAACUCG